rnacentral:rRNA from 1 species
AUUGAACGCUGGCGGCAUGCCUUACACAUGCGAGUCGAACGGUAACAGGUCUUCGGAUGCUGACGAGUGGCGAACGGGUGAGUAAUACAUCGGAACGUGCCCGAUCGUGGGGGAUAACGAAGCGAAAGCUUUGCUAAUACCGCAUACGAUCUACGGAUGAAAGCAGGGGACCGCAAGGCCUUGCGCGAACGGAGCGGCCGAUGGCAGAUUAGGUAGUUGGUGGGAUAAAAGCUUACCAAGCCGACGAUCUGUAGCUGGUCUGAGAGGACGACCAGCCACACUGGGACUGAGACACGGCCCAGACUCCUACGGGAGGCAGCAGUGGGGAAUUUUGGACAAUGGGCGAAAGCCUGAUCCAGUCAUGCCGCGUGCAGGAUGAAGGCCUUCGGGUUGUAAACUGCUUUUGUACGGAACGAAAAGACUCUGGUUAAUACCUGGGGUCCAUGACGGUACCGUAAGAAUAAGCACCGGCUAACUACGU